GACGAACGCUGGCGGCGUGCUUAACACAUGCAAGUCGAACGGAAAGGCCCUGCUUUUGUGGGGUGCUCGAGUGGCGAACGGGUGAGUAACACGUGAGUAACCUGCCCUUGACUUUGGGAUAACUUCAGGAAACUGGGGCUAAUACCGGAUAGGAGCUCCUGCUGCAUGGGGGUGGUUGGAAAGUGUCGGCGGUUGGGGAUGGACUCGCGGCUUAUCAGCUUGUUGGUGGGGUAGUGGCUUACCAAGGCUUUGACGGGUAGCCGGCCUGAGAGGGUGACCGGCGACAUUGGGACUGAGAUACGGCGCAGACUCCUACGGUAGGCAGCAGUCGGGAAUAUUGCACAAUGGGCGGAAGCCUGAUGCAGCAACGCCGCGUGCGGAAUGACGGCCUUCGGGUUGUAAACCGCUUUCUCCUGUGACGAAGCGUGAGUGACGGUAAUGGGUAAAGAAGCACCGGCUAACUACGUG
rnacentral:rRNA from 1 species